rfam:Puccinia triticina 1-1 BBBD Race 1 supercont2.221, whole genome shotgun sequence.
GCCCGGCUAGCUCAGUUGGUAGAGCAUUCGACUCUUACUGGGUUCCAAUCUCCACAUCGGAGUUCGGCAUCGAAUUGUCGUGGGUUCGAGCCCCACGUUGGGUG